rnacentral:rRNA from 1 species
UGGGGAAUAUUGCACAAUGGGCGCAAGCCUGAUGCAGCCAUGCCGCGUGUGUGAAGAAGGCCUUCGGGUUGUAAAGCACUUUCAGCGGGGAGGAAGGCGUUAAGGUUAAUAACCUUGGCGAUUGACGUACCCGCAGAAGAAGCACCGGCUAACUCCGUGCCAGCAGCCGCGGUAAUACGGAGGGUGCAAGCGUUAAUCGGAAUUACUGGGCGUAAAGCGCACGCAGGCGGUCUGUCAAGUCGGAUGUGAAAUCCCCGGGCUCAACCUGGGAACUGCAUUCGAAACUGGCAGGCUAGAGUCUUGUAGAGGGGGGUAGAAUUCCAGGUGUAGCGGUGAAAUGCGUAGAGAUCUGGAGGAAUACCGGUGGCGAAGGCGGCCCCCUGGACAAAGACUGACGCUCAGGUGCGAAAGCGUGGGGAGCAAACAGG